UACGUAGGGGGCGAGCGUUGUCCGGAUUCAUUGGGCGUAAAGCACUUUAAGGCAGUUCGCUAAGUCGGGUGUGAAACCUCCAGGCUCAACCUGGAGACGCCACUCGAUACUGGCGUGACUAGAGUUCGGUAGGGGAUCACGGAAUUCCUGGUGUAGCGGUGAAAUGCGUAGAUAUCGGGAGGAACACCUGUGGCGAAAGCGGCUCACUGGACCGCAACUGACGCUGAGGCGCGAAAGCUAGGGGAGCAAACAGG
rnacentral:rRNA from 1 species